rnacentral:lncRNA from 1 species
AAUUUUAGUUAGAAAUUUACACAAAUAACCAGAUUUAAGCGGUCGUUUAUUGUUAUUAUUGGAUCUAAACCAUUCAUGGUGGAAGGAAUUUCAUUAUCUCACAUUGGCUUGCACGCAACUGGAGUGAAUUUAAGAUUGCGGGCAUUUGAACAGUUGAAUUCAUCUCAAGCGUGGUUUUCGGCUGUAUUUUAUCCGAGUCAAAACCAUUCUGCUUGUUUUGUACGCGAAUGCCCUGUUAGCACCGAUGAUUUAUAAUACACAGAACUUCAGAAGGCAAAGUAUGAGGCAUGAAAUAAUGUUUUAUUGUAAGGAAUCGUAUGCAACUGGAUCAAGCAGACAAGGGGGUUGAACUUGAAGGGCGUAGGAAUUCACAAAUACCCGAGAAGCCUUUUGUAAGAGACACCCAUGUGUGACGUGUGAUACAUCCGGGAUAGAUGGCCUAUAAAACAUGCUAGACAGGCCGUAUCAACACAAAACUUUCUGAGCUCCAGAACGAUCAGAUUCAACAUGAAGCUAUCAACUGUCGUGCUUGCGCUUGUAGUACUUGCAGCAGUGCUGGUAAAAUCAGGGGAGGCGAGGGCUCCACCGUUAAAAGAGGAGCUGCUGGAUGAAUUGACCGAGGAAGAUAAAGAUGUAGAGGAUGCCAACACAAGAGAUUUACACGGGGUCCGUGUGCGUCGUCGGUGGGGCCCCUGGGCGCCUAAGCCUACCCCAAGCAGUAGUAACCAUAGCAUAUAUAGCAGUCGUAGUAACCAUAGCAUAUUCAGUGGUCUAGGUUUUGAUCAUAAUCGCGGGCGCUAGCCAAGGAAAAGAUUGUAAAAAGUGAUUAGUAUCGGAGUGGUUAAAAACAUAAGAAGAGUAACAAAUUACAACUAUAUAUAUCUUCCAAAAGUGUGGUGUUCUGAAACACUCAACAGUAAGAGCACAGACUCGUUAAUUGUUUGGAUUUGUAAUACACUAGUUCACAUUUAUCACUUCGGUUUAUACUUCUCACAUUGAUUUACACUGAUAUGUUUUUAUUUUACUACUGUAAUUACAAUUAAUCAUAUUUACCUGUUAUUUGUUUUUACUAAUCUACAUGUAGUUUUAGUUUUACAUUAAGUUGCAAUUUCAUAACUGUCCAUUAUAUAGUAUAUUACUAUAUCUAUAGUCCGAUGGCGCCCUGACAUGCUGUAUCUACCACACGCAUGCGCAUACAUACAUUUAUGAAAUCGCAGCCUUUCUAAUAUAUGCAUGUUUGUAAUCAGCGUUUUUGAAUUUGAUAUUGAAUGUUUUUAUUUUCACUUUUACAAGACUUGUUCACAAAUUUGCCAAAGCCAUGCCAUUUUCAACGGUUAAUUAAACGGUAAAUAAAAUAUCAGUAUACAAUUGUCUUCAAGAUGAUUAAAGUUUUGAAAAAAUGAAAAUCUAAAAUAUAUAAUAAUUGUUUAUAGAUACAUGUUAUUGUUUCAAAAUGAAAGACGUCAUAUUUUGCGUAAACGAAGACAUUUACAUUUUUACCAAAACUUGUGUACAACAAGAUUUUAUGAUAUUUAACAUUCCCUGUAUAUUUUGCAACUUACUUUAUAUCUACAUGUAUCCAACAUAAUUUUCUGCAGGUUAUGUGUUGAGUUUUACUUAAUGCAAGGUGUUAAUGAUGCUAUAUAGUUUU